rnacentral:rRNA from 1 species
UGAGGAAUUUUCUGCAAUGGGCGAAAGCCUGACAGAGCAAUACCGCGUGGAGGAUGAAGGCCUACGGGUUGUAAACUUCUUUUCUCAAGGAGGAAGAUCUGACGUUACUUGAGGAAUAAGCAUCGGCUAACCCUGUGCCAGCAGCCGCGGUAAUACAGGGGAUGCAAGUGUUAUCCGGAAUCAUUGGGCGUAAAGCGUCUGCAGGUUGAUAUUUAAGUCUUUUGUUAAAUCUCCGGGCUUAACCUAGAAUCUGCAAAAGAAACUAUAUAUCUUGAGUAUGGUAGAGGUAAAGGGAAUUUCCAGUGGAGCGGUGAAAUGCGUAGAUAUUGGAAAGAACACCAACAGCGAAGGCACUUUACUGGGCCAGUACUGACACUCAGAGACG